rnacentral:rRNA from 1 species
AUUGAACGCUGGCGGCAUGCCUUACACAUGCAAGUCGAACGGCAGCACGGGAGCAAUCCUGGUGGCGAGUGGCGAACGGGUGAGUAAUAUAUCGGAACGUGCCCAGUAGUGGGGGAUAACUGCUCGGAAGAGCAGCUAAUACCGCAUACGACCUGAGGGUGAAAGCGGGGGAUCGCAAGACCUCGCGCUAUUGGAGCGGCCGAUAUCAGAGUAGCUAGUUGGUGGGGUAAAAGCUCACCAAGGCGACGAUCUGUAGCUGGUCUGAGAGGACGACCAGCCACACUGGGACUGAGACACGGCCCAGACUCCUACGGGAGGCAGCAGUGGGGAAUUUUGGACAAUGGGCGCAAGCCUGAUCCAGCCAUGCCGCGUGCGGGAAGAAGGCCUUCGGGUUGUAAACCGCUUUUGUCAGGGAAGAAACGGCUCCUACUAAUACUGGGGGCUAAUGACGGUACCUGAGGAAUAAGCACCGGCUAACUACGUGCCAGCCGCCGCAGUAA